CAGUAGCCGCGGUAAUACGAAGGGGGCUAGCGUUGUUCGGAUUUACUGGGCGUAAAGCGCACGUAGGCGGAUCGAUCAGUCAGGGGUGAAAUCCUGGAGCUCAACUCCAGAACUGCCUUGGAUACUGUCGAUCUCGAGUCCGGAAGAGGUGAGUGGAACUCCUAGUGUAGAGGUGGAAUUCGUAGAUAUUAGGAAGAACACCAGUGGCGAAGGCGGCUCACUGGUCCGGUACUGACGCUGAGGUGCGAAAGCGUGGGGAGCAAACAGGAUUAGAUACCCCAGUAGUCCCUGUCUCUUAUAC
rnacentral:rRNA from 1 species